rnacentral:rRNA from 2 species
CGGGGGUAGAGCACUGUUUCGGCUAGGGGGCCAUCCCGGCUUACCAACCCGAUGCAAACUGCGAAUACCGGAGAAUGUUAUCACGGGAGACACACGGCGGGUGCUAACGUCCGUCGUGAAGAGGGAAACAACCCAGACCGCCAGCUAAGGUCCCAAAGUCAUGGUUAAGUGGGAAACGAUGUGGGAAGGCCCAGACAGCCAGGAUGUUGGCUUAGAAGCAGCCAUCAUUUAAAGAAAGCGUAAUAGCUCACUGGUCGAGUCGGCCUGCGCGGAAGAUGUAACGGGGCUAAACCAUGCACCGAAGCUGCGGCAGCGACACUGUGUGUUGUUGGGUAGGGGAGCGUUCUGUAAGCCUGUGAAGGUGUGUCGUGAGGCAUGCUGGAGGUAUCAGAAGUGCGAAUGCUGACAUAAGUAACGAUAAAGCGGGUGAAAAGCCCGCUCGCCGGAAGACCAAGGGUUCCUGUCCAACGUUAAUCGGGGCAGGGUGAGUCGACCCCUAAGGCGAGGCCGAAAGGCGUAGUCGAUGGGAAACGGGUUAAUAUUCCCGUACUUGGUGUUACUGCGAAGGGGGGACGGAGAAGGCUAUGUUGGCCGGG